GAAGAACUUCAGAUUGAGCCUCUUGAAACAUUUGCUCUUGGAAUUCUCCCUCUCAGGAAACUAACAGCCUGCUAUGAAGCCCAAGCCACAAAGAGAGGCCAAGGGGAAAUAAACAGAGUGUGAUUAUAUGCAAAACCUACAAGAAUGAGGACCUCCAAACUCAGUGUACAGAGUGAUUUUCUGCUGAAACAAUUGGUUGGUGUAAGAAUAUUGGAAGCCUGAACCUAGCACUGUCUGCUACUGGCCUGACGUCUUUUCCACAACAUGGGAAGAGAUUGCCUGGGAAGGAAGCCAACUCUGUGGAAAGCAUAAGAAAUAACCAAAGAAAGUGAGAGGAAUAUCCUCAUGACACUAUUUGAAUCCCUAAACCCAGCCUAAGUGAGGUUUACUCCUUGGACAACCCUCCUUCUCCAACCAGUUAUAUGAGGAUAAAUGCCCCUUUGGUCCUGUAGCUUGAGUACAUUUCUGUCACUCGCAACUUGCAAAUUUGUGACCAACAUACCUGCACGCAUGCACACACACACACACACAUUUAACAUUUGCCGUAUUGGACAUACAGGAUGGCACAUCUUAUCUGGACAGUGUUGAAGUGAACUUUUAAAAUGAAGUAAAUUUUGUUGAAUCG
ensembl:lncRNA LINC02466 long intergenic non-protein coding RNA 2466